GAGCAAGUCUGUUCUUAUGAAGACACCAAUCCUAUCAGAUUAGGGCCCCACCCUUAUGAUCUCAGUUAACCUUAAUUACUUCUAUAAAGGCCAGGUCUCCAAAUACAGUCACACGGGGAGCUAGGGCUUCAACCUAUGGCUUUUGGGGGAUACAGUUCAGUCCAUAGCAGUGGGGAAAGGAUGUGACUCAGUCUAGAGAGACUCAAGGAGGGAAUGCUUAGAUAGGAGCAUGGAGGGCGUGCCUGGUGAAGGGAACAGUAUGGCACAGCUUCAGAGGCAAGGGUGAGCCAGCAGCAAGGGGCUGGCUAUGGCCGGUACAAAAAGCAUGUGCUCGUGGGAAAUAGGUUUUUCUCACUGUAAGAAGAGGACAAUAGCCUAUGAUCUACAGUGCCCAUUCCAACUCAGAGAAUCUUUACAUCUGGAGAUCUAUAGCAGGGCUAUCCCUAGUGACAUGCGUGAAGAAGCUUGGAAAUGGUGCUGGGUAGGAGCUGAGUGUGCAGAAUGUGGAAAGGCAUUCUAAACCAAAGGAAGAACACGAGUAAAGAUGAUGAAGCAGGGAUAAGGCUAAAAUGAAAUUUGUGAUCUGAUCCACAUACAAGCACAGUGUAGUACAGCUGGAAUAUAGAGAAGAGCUUGAAGACUUAUGAGCAACUAUCCCGGUACUCUUGGAGGCUCUGCAACCACAGUUUGAGAAACUCCGCGUUCAAAGUUAAAAACUGUCACCUGAAUAGUUAAUAACAUCAAAGAUUGUGAAAGCAAGUAUAAAUAACACAGAGAUUAAAAUAAUGAGGCAGG
rnacentral:lncRNA from 10 species